CACCCAGAACGGCCAAGCAGAACACCCUGAAAAAGAAGCACCAGACAGCCUGUCACACAGGAGAUGUCACUGCAGAAAUACGCGAUGACAUGUUGGUGAGGUGACAUCACUGCAGGAACACCCGGCACAUUGUCUAAAAUAUCAGUUAGCUCAUCAAGGAAAGCUACUAGGUUAUCUGGUGUGACCUAGCCAUGGCAAACCCAAACCCAAGCUACUCAAGAGGUGGGGAUCACUCCAAAAGGCAACCAAGCUGAGCAGCCUUUUCUGGUCAGCACUGACAGUGCCAGCACCUUAACGACCACCUUGUGCUAUCACCAUCCUUUUGCAGGCAGCUGCAGCAGUCCCCUGAGAAUCCUUGAGGCUAGCUUUGCCCAGGGCAUGAAUGGGGUGAGUGAGGAACAGACUCCUUCCCCCCAUACCUUGAUGAGCAGGGCAAGCCCAGUCUGUGCAUGCAAACAGUAUUUCCUUGUGGGCACUCCCACAUAUGCUCAUCAGGGGGGUGAUCAGACGAGGACAACACUUUUCAAGUGGCCAAGGAAAGCAGGCAUCUGCUCAUGACAUGGGGCAUGCAGUGCAAUCUGUUCUCCAACUCACCAUUUCAGCCAUGGCCAGGACUUCCGGAAGCACUGCUGACAAGGGCUGAAGAGCCUCACCAGCUUUGCCCCAUAGUGCUUCUGAAUGAAGUCAUAGCCCACAAAGAAGACAACAAUGCAGGUGAUGACCACUAAGGCAAGGGCACGCUGGAAGUUCAGGCAACAGGCCGCAAUGAAGUAGCACAGAUAUGCCCCACCUGCAACACAAACCUGGGCAUCAGCCAAGAGGCAGCACAGCCAGGCACCUUGUGAAGGAAGAAACUUCUCUCUGACUCCACAGCUGAGAGGGGAGAGUCUUUUGCUUCCCUAGAGCAGGGAAGCCCUGAGGGUCUUCCUUGUCCUGUAUGCAAGGCAGAGCAGCCCUCAGGCCUCCAGUCCAACAGCUGGGACAGAAAAGUACAAAGGAGGAGUGUCCAGAGGUGCUCGGGAUGUUGUACCUGUGGGAAGAGGAGCCAUGAAUCCCUUUACUCUUCAAGGCCUAAGAUAAGCACUCCAAAUGUGUUCCUAUGCCAUUAAAAUUAAUGAAUGUGCCUCAGAGGCACUGGGCUCAUUAUCUCCCUUGUUCUUCCCCACGUACAGAAAAGGAGCCUUUGCUUACUUCUAACCCUAACAAGUGAAAGAGUCUUGAAUUACCUCCUUGUUUCCAACUAAACCCUGUAUUUCUACCUGUCCCUGAUUUUCCUUACAGACCAUUGGGAGACAAAUGGCCCUGCAGUAAUUUUUAGGCACAGUGAGCCCUUCUCUAUGAGAUGAAAUGCCCUGACCCUUACUUCCUAAGCUGUAUCCCCUGAUAAAAACAGCAUUCAGCUUGAGAUAGAGUUAAGAGCACAAAGCAGUACAGGGAUUACCCCAAAACAAGUGCUUUAAAGCCCAAAAUUUCAGAGCUAAGCUUAAACGUGAAAGAAAUCCAAGCAUGCUAGAAUGUGGAAAAACACAGUUGAGGCUCCUGAACAACCUUAUCACUGACCUAUAGUCAAGCCAUAGCAUAACAAUGCCAUUAGGAUUAGUACAGAAUGCUGUUUACGGCCCCAAAUUGGAUUAAACCAAUGUCUUAAAAGCACGUUAGAGUGUGCAUUUUAUGUCCUUCAUGGUGUUACUACAAAAGGUGGGUUGGGAGCCUUAAUUUGCCUUUUAUCAAGGAUCUAGAAGGAAAUAUAAAGUUACUGCUGAUAAAAAUGACAGAUAACAGAAAAAUUGGUAGAGUGAAAAAUAUUGAUCAGGAGGCAUUAUGGAUAAAGUGUAGCAGUCUGGAUUUCUCAGGAAGGUGGGCCUCUUUGAACAACAUGCAUUUUAAUACAGACAAAUGCCAGGUCAGAGAACUAGGAGCACAGCAGGUAGAUCACAUUGGUUGGAUGAGAAAUGCUACAAUAGUGAAAAAGAAGGAAGGAUGUAACAAGAAGGCAUGGGUCCACAUCAAUGCAUGAAUGUCACUUUGUUGAGUAGCUUCCAUUUUUAAUCUUGAGCUGAGCACAGGGCUACUCACCAGAGGCAGACCACUGCCCUGCCCAAAAGAGUAUGUGUGACCCCUUUGGCACCUACAAGCCAUCACAGAGUAUUUUGGAGCUGACGACUUCAAAUGCUGAUUCUACUCUGUGGCCCAACAGGUUUUCCACAUUGCAUGGCUAGUGGGUCUGCAGCUCCUCAGCCUGGGCACACGGCAAAAGGAGAGAGACUGAGUUAAAAAAAGUGUUGGCUCUAAGGAUCAGGGGACAGACCAUUGUCCCAAUGGCUAGCCCAGUGUCUAGAAAGAAGAACCCCUCUGGUCUCUGUGCCAUGCAUUCUCACUAGUGGUGUGCGGGGGACAACAGCCUACAACUGCUACUGGUUCCUGGAAUUACUGCUGUACCUUGUCGCUGCACUUUUGGAGUUAACAAUGCAGGCUUGAGGCAGUCACUGAGUCGUCACACCUUGGAUGUGGUGCAGUUCACCAGCCUCUGAAGGGAAGCUGUGAGUAUGAGAACCUAAGUAGUUAUGUGCAUCUCUUGCUCAUGGAGUGGAUGCUGGAGAUCAACAUGAUGCUCCACAGCUUCCAGAACAGUAAGACUCCUGGGGCGGAUGCCUUGCCCAGAGUUCAUGUUGCUUUCUGGGACCAGGUGGGCCUGGACCUGCCGGAGGUCUAUAGGGAGCACUGGCAGGAGGGCCACCUCGGAGCAGGGAUGGAGGAAGGCCUCAUAACCCUUCUGUACAAGAAGGGGGAGAGGCGGGACUUGAGCAACUGGUUCCCGAUUACACUCCUGAACUUUGAUUACAAACUAAUAGCCAAAGUCUUGGGUGAGUGUUUUAAGUCUGUUAUAGGUGCAGCGAUCCACGAAGACCAGGCAUAUGACUGAUCCACAAUGCCCUGAUGCAGCUGCGUGAUGCCCUACAGUACCAGCAGGAGAGGGGACAGAACGUCGCCAUGCUGAACUUGGACUUGGAGAAGGCCUAUGACCAGGGAAAGAACAGGCCAGAGAGAUGCUUGGAUCCAGUUCCAAAUGGAAACUAGCAGCUGUGGCUAAUUAGAAUGACCAAAUUACCCAUCAAGUCCAGUGGGUGUCAGUGUCAAUGACAGUUUUCAAAACGGGCAGAAGUGCUUUCCGCAUGCCCUCAUCCAUGUGUGUAUGGCUGUGUUCUGGCUCUCUUGGUGCCUUUGUGUAUGUAUGCGUGUUCUUUUUGUGCAUUUAUAAAUUCAUGCGUGCUCACAUCAAUAAACUGUGCCUACCACAUUAUGGGUUUUACUGAAACAAAUGUAUACUUCAGUUAACUUACAUUAUCUUUGCAUUUGCUGUUUUUCCAAGCAUUAAAUUAGUUUAUCUUUAAUUCAGUAUAUCCCAGUUUGGAGAGGUUUAAUUCUAGGAGUAUUUUGUGUCCAAAGCACAAGUCGCAGCCGGUCAAUGUUAACUGUGCAUUAGCAAAGUUUUAAGGCUGUGAUGUAUGGAGAGAAGGAUUCUCUGGAUUGUUUGGGGAAGUAUCAGGAUCAUGGCACCAAAAGCUCAGUGCAAAUAACAUUGGAUUGAUGGAGGAAGUUAUCUUUAUUCAAAAUGCUUAAUAUGAAUGUCUGGAUGCUUUAGCUUGCUCCAUCAUAUUGUGCACAGGUGUUUAACUAAAAUAUCUGCUCAACAACGUGAAGAAAAGUGCUCACUGUUAGAGUGUCAUACCUCUGUCACUUUUACUUAAGUGCUAUGAAAGCUUCCCACUCACAUCUCUGACUCAUAAAGAUAUCACUCCCCAGCAUGAUAUUUUUAAAUUAAAGGGGAAAC